GCAGGCUCAGUUUUCACAAAUGAGACCAGUAGCUAUGGGUCCCUCGGUUCCUCCUCGUAUGCCAAUGUACCCACCUGGCCCUUCAGGCCUAGGGCAACAGUUUCUGUAUGGCCAAGCACCACCAGCAAUAAUUCCUCCUCAAGUAAUUUUCUGUCUGAAGACCCUUGUAGUUCAAUUUGCACUGUUGUAAAUGGAGUCUACUUUGUUUAAUGUUAUGGUCUGUGGUCAAGGUUUCUUACUCAGUUUUUUUCCCUUUUUUCUUUAAAGGCUGGAUUUGGUUACCAGCAGCAACUUGUUCCUGGAAUGAGGCCUGCUGGGGCACCGAUGCCGAACUUCUUUGUUCCAGUGGUCUCGCAAGGUCAGCAGGGCCAGCGUCCUGGUGGACGACGUGGUGCUGGACCUGUGCAACAGACCCAGCAGCCACUCCCCAUUAUGCCGCACCAGGUCUGUCUCAUUUGAAAGCUAUUAUUGUUGCUUUCGAUGGGUAACCCCCCCCCCCCAAAAAAAAAAAUCAAUGUUGACGUCAUUUAUUCGUUGCAGAUGCCUCCCAGGGGUCAUGCCUAUCGGUACCCACUUGGCCGUAAUAUGCAAGAUUUCCCCUUUGACAUGGGUGCUGGCAGUAUGCUCCCUGUUCCCGUUGACAUGGGUGCUGGCAUACCUCGGCGAGAUGCGUCUGUUGGACAAC
rnacentral:lncRNA from 1 species